AUGGAUUUUUUCCGCCAAUUGUGUCGAUGAUGUUGUGUCUCCUCAUGCCCUUGAGGGUCCCUGUGCCUCCCUUUAUAUACCACAUGACAGAGUUACAAGGUGGAAAACCUAGCUGAAUACAACUUUGGUUUUCUUAUCUUUACAAGAUGAUAUAGAUGACAAUAUAUUAUCUGAGGUAUAGUCUAUCUAAUAUCUGUUGGAUCCAUCUAUGCAUAACAAGUUACGCCUUCUACAUGAGUACACAAUAUUCAUAUCUUCCACAUGAAUUAACAUGCCAUACAAACCAUACAUAUGAAGAGUGGGAAUAUGGUCCUUGAGAAAAUACCUAGAGGUACCAAAUUUGUAAUGUAGAAUUUUAAUACCUCGAGAUACCAAAUAUUUUUAAAAAAUUAUUAUACUAAAAGA
rnacentral:lncRNA from 1 species